CAGCCACAUCAUAUUGAAACACUGGUUUCCAUAAGAUCAUUGAAGUUAAGCAAUGUUGAGCAAAGUCUGUAUCUAGAUGAGUGAUCACAUGGAAAUACCAUGUGCUGUAA